rnacentral:rRNA from 1 species
AUUGAGAUUUUAACACGAAGUGAGUGGCGAACGGGUGAGUAACACGUGGGUAACCUGCCCAGAAGUAGGGGAUAACACCUGGAAACAGAUGCUAAUACCGUAUAACAGAGAAAACCGCAUGGUUUUCUUUUAAAAGAUGGCUCUGCUAUCACUUCUGGAUGGACCCGCGGCGUAUUAGCUAGUUGGUGAGGUAAAGGCUCACCAAGGCAGUGAUACGUAGCCGACCUGAGAGGGUAAUCGGCCACAUUGGGACUGAGACACGGCCCAGACUCCUACGGGAGGCAGCAGUAGGGAAUCUUCCACAAUGGACGCAAGUCUGAUGGAGCAACGCCGCGUGAGUGAAGAAGGGUUUCGGCUCGUAAAGCUCUGUUGUUAAAGAAGAACGUGGGUAAGAGUAACUGUUUACCCAGUGACGGUAUUUAACCAGAAAGCCACGGCUAACUACGUGCCAGCAGCCGCGGUAAUACGUAGGUGGCAAGCGUUAUCCGGAUUUAUUGGGCGUAAAGCGAGCGCAGGCGGUCUUUUAAGUCUAAUGUGAAAGCCUUCGGCUCAACCGAAGAAGUGCAUUGGAAACUGGGAGACUUGAGUGCAGAAGAGGACAGUGGAACUCCAUGUGUAGCGGUGAAAUGAGGGGAUAUAUGGAAGAACACCAGUGGCGAAGGCGGCUGU